rnacentral:tRNA from 1 species
GACUUGGUAGCCUAGUUGGUAAAGGCAGCACUUCUAGUAUAGGGUCUUAGCUUCUGGAUAAGGUUGCUGCUGGUUCAAAUCCUGCCCAAGGUG